AGCGAGUCGGAAGGUAGCCACGUCUCCUUCUGAAGAGGGACGCGCACUUUGCCCACUGCACCGGUACAAACAAAAAGGGAAUAAAGAGCGGUCGAAGUUUUCACUCUCUCACGCAGGCACAUACAUACACACACAAAGAGAAGAGCGGUGCUCUUCGACUCUCUUGUUCGGGGUUUCCCGCGUCGCUUCAGAGAUCAGUGUAGGGCAUUAUAGAGAAACGCCGCGUUGCCUCUGCCCUCUGACUCGACUGCGCGUUCUCAUCUUCGCGCAUUUUAUUUUUCUUUAUGAAGAAGUAAGCCGGGUGCAAGCAUCUACGCAUCUGUUGCACACUUCUCUUCUUGACUCUUGCAUUUUGCUCCUGCUGGUGAUCGUUCACCUACCUUCCCCCCCCAGUGAGCAUCGCAGGUGAUACCAUUGUUCUCAAAAGAAGCAGCGUGAUGAGCUCCAGCAACAAUGCCGAUGAUUGGGGGCUGCUAAGUGUGGCGGACAUCAUCGACAGCGUUGUCUCCACCGAUGAUCACGAGGCCGAAGGAUCGACUGACGUUCCCUUCGCGGCCUCUGAUGAGGCCAGCGUGCCGAGUUUUCUUUUGGAGGCACCGCUGGCGGAAAACCUGCAGCGCAGCCUUCUUUCUGGUCUCAAGAAGCGCCUUUACGCCCACUCAACGCGCAUCGAGCGUGUGUUUGAAGUUCGUUUUCGGAAAGUCAAGCUGUCUUUGUCGUCAUCGAAGAAAAUUCGUGACCGAUUGAGUGAGGCUAUUGUGUCGAUGGGCGCUUCCCUUCCCGCACAAGAGGAGCACACAAGUUUGCUAAGCACCAUCGCACUGCUCGGUGCCGUCACAGAUUGUGAUGAGAAGGGCGCAUACACGUCAGUGCUACUCGACAGCGUCGCGCAUGUGAACUGGGAUAUUGCGUCGCCACAAUCGUGCCUGGAGCUCUUUCGCAUCGUUGAAGCACACGCCAGCGAGGAUGAAUUGAGUGAUGAAUUGCGUGUGGCGGUCGCGCGUACAAAACUUGGCUUGGCGCUGCGCAGCGGCUGUCUGUCCCUGUUACUGAAGUGCCUAGUUGCACCUUCCGCCCUUCUCACUCUAGACCCUGCCGUGUUUCCGCCCAAGUCAUCGUCGCAGUGCGUCCGUGUCUCUACGGCGACCAUGUCUGAUUUCCUUGUCAAGACGCUCGUGCUGCCCGCUCAGUUCCGGCCGAAGGACUCGUUGCAAUGCUCGGCACACGGCCGCACUCUUCUCCUUCUGGGUGACACGCAUGUUGCCCGCUACGAGGCCUUGGGUACGAUGGGUACGCGUCUCAUCCAGCGCAGCGUGCAGCAGCUUCCGGGCCAGCGCGGGGAUGUUGUUCUACACCUCAACGAAGCUGUUGCUCUGUGCAUACGAGCUCUUGGGCGAGAUGAGCACUUCUGGCACUUUUCCGUUUGCCGAGAGGGUCUGGAUGGAGAGAGUCAUGGCCGUCUAACGCUGCGCACAACCGGCCUCCCGCUAGCGGAGGUGCGCUUCCACUUCUGUGUGACGGGGACGGACACGCUGUGCUGUCUUGUUUCGUCGCAUCCUCCCCAGCGCACGCGCGGUUGUCUCUACGUGGGCGAGACCUCUGUCGAGGCGCUCCUCGGCACUGCGUCGACAAUAACGCUUGCCCCACUUUUCCGCAAUCCAUCGCUUAAUGCGGCGUCAAGACGUCGCACUGCCUUCCACUUUACCAAGUCCGUUUCAGUCGCGGUGGGGCGUGUGACUCUCAAGGACAGGUUUCACCCCUUCUGCAUUGAGAUGUGGGUGUUUCCGCGAAGCGUGGCGAAGGACCAGAUUUUCCUUUCCAUAGGUGACAAGAGUGUUGAGGAGGUGCUUCUCGGGCUGGAGCCUGUCGGCGACGGGGUUCGAUGGCGUGGCGGUGCUCGCACACCGCGCUUAGGACCGUCUUUUGCGAUGUACAACUCCGCUGGCAAGCUGUCCGUGCUGGAACGGUGGUGGCAUGUCGCUCUCAACUUCAACGGGGCGGCGUGGGAGCUUUGGCUUGAUCACGAGCUGGUCAGUCGGCAGCCAGCCCUUGUUUCACCCAACGCCAUUGCAAACGCCAAGUGCGUCGUGGGCAAGAGCUUCAUCGGAUUGGCAGCGGAGGUGCGCGUUUGGCAGCACACUCGCACAGCCGCGGAGCUCGCGCGAGAUGCGCGGAGACCGCUGCUGGGCAACGAGGACGGCCUCUGUGCGUACUUCCCACUCGACGAAGGAUACGGCAAUGUGAUCAUGGACUACGCACCGCACCACGAACACGCUCUCUUGCCCUACGGUGAGCCAUAUUGGUGCGCAGUGGGUUCAUUUCCAGUCCUUGGGGAUUCCCUCGACAGUCGGCAGGUGCUUGAUUUUGUGCCACAGGCCUGGAUCGAGGAGGCGGACGAGGUCUUCUUCGCGGCAUCGCGGGAGUCGUACACCAUCGCCGGCGUGCGCUCUGACCACACGCUGUGCGUGUUCGACUACGCGCGUGACCGGCGGUGCCUUGUAGCGCAGCGUAGCGUCGAGCUUCCAGUCUCUUGGUGUGUCAAGGGCGUCUCUGCGGACCCCGCACGAAAAUCCUUGUGUUGCUGCGCUGUCGCGGUGCCUUUGAGCGGUGCUGCCGCUGCUGCCACCACUAGCGCCGCUCCGCAGGUGUUUCUGUGGGAGAUGUGGGCGUAUGCGGGCCACACUGAAGCUGCUCCACAUGUGCCGUACGACACCUCGUGGCAAUGCGGAAAAGCCGUCCUGGAGCGCAGCGCCGCACACGCGCAGCGGAUUCUGUGGUCUGCGCAGUACUUGACAGAUCAAUCCACCUGGGCCUCAGUCGUUCCGCCUUUUGUACUUGACCCUGACGAUGCCGUGCUAACCCUGCUCCUUGGGGUGGCUCAGCAGGCUGAUUCGGCACAGACUUCGCAGGGUGACCGCGAUCUAGUGCAGCAGGCCUGCACUCUGCUUCAGGUGAAUCUGCUCGCGCGGCUGUACAGCUCACCGCUCGACUUUGCCCUUCGCGUGGGCGGGUGCUACGACUCAGUGGAGCAGCUGUUGCGGGCAGCGGUGGAGGGUGAGGAGACGGAUCGCUCUGUGGUGACCACGCCAACGUCGCAUCUGCGCGAAUCCAUCAUACGGUUUGCGCUUCGCUGCACUUGUUUGGAUGCCCCGUCUUCCUCCGCACUCCUUCGAUGCUGCUGCCAGUGUUUCCUGACAGAGGGCGGCCGGCUGCUGUUCCUGGAGGCACAAUCGGGCAAGUUGCGAGCGCCUGCGGCAGAGACGGUCUACUGCUGCCUGCUGACGCUGUAUAGCUCUCUGCACACGUGCUGCGAUCUGCUCUCCUCACAACCCGCCUGUCAGCUGUCCUCUCUAUUCUCUGCCCUAUAUAUGGAGGCCAUGUACCAAGUGGACCGCUCGCUGCGCGUGAAGAGCGUCGACGGCCUGCUGCGGACAAGCCACUGCUUGGAGGUUUUGGCGGAGGUGCUUCUUUCGGGUUGUGGUAUGGACGGGGAUGCGGCGCGGCUGGAGACUUUGCAGUGCGUUUACAGCACCGCGCUCUUGCGGUGCUGCGAGAAAAUGGUCGACGCUGUGUCGACGGCGUUGCGCCAGCUGCCCGAAGCGGAAGCGACGUUUCUCAAGUGCGUGCAGCUCAGCCCGAUUGGAGCACUGCUCGCCUCGUUCGCUGUAUCCCUUCCACUGCUCCCGACAUCCGCACUUGCUGCGUGCUCGGUGUCGUUGCAAAAGUGCCGAGAGUCCCUCCUCGUGCUGAUCGACCGUUUUCCCGGCGAGGAGGCGAAGCGCUGGGCCUCGCGUCUGUGCGUCGCCCUCACCUACUCGCUCGCCCAGCUAGGGUGCACGUUGCUCAACCCCCUCCCCUCCUCACAGGACGCGGUGCCAGUAGCGGCGGCGGCGGCGGCAGCGUCUACCGCACAAGGUGGGCAGCAAACAGCUGCGGCGUCGCCAAGACCGCCGUACCUGAGCGUGCUGCGUAACGGUCAGCGCCGCCUGAAUACAGAGCGCGACGCUCUCAUCAAGAAUCUUCAAGGCGGCGUCGGUGUGCUUAGCCGUGUGUUUGAGGAGCUGCAGAUGAAGGACGUCUCGGCGUUACGUGUAGUGCGUGAUGAGCAGCUGCGCGAAACGGAGCGGCAGGUGAUGGCUGCCUGCUGUGCACUGCUACUGCCGACGCAGGCGUUGCGUGAGGCCACUCCCGAGAGCCUUCUCCCUGCGUUCCAGCUGGUGCUCAAGCUGCGGCCGUGGUGUCUGUCGAAGCGGCAGGAGUCGAAGGAGUACGUUACUAAGAUGCGGGAGCGCGCUGUUUUUCUGGCCUUGUUCGAGCCGAUCGCUGAGGUGGGCGACGACGAGGUCGGCACGGGGCAGGCGGGAGCGACUUCUUCCUCUGCCUCGUCGAGGACCCGCGCCAGCAGCGCAUCUAAUUCGCAUGCUGCACAAUUGACGCAGCGGCAGAAGUGGCGGCGGCUCUUCAAGAGCUGGAAGGCCAUGCGGCAACUUAAGGCGCUCAUGUCGUCGCGUGAGGAAGCGGCAGACCUGAACGUCGGCGCCGAGAUCAUUGCCUGCUUCCAAAGUGAGAUGAGUACGUCAGAGAUGGAGAGCGCCGUGGCGUGGCGUUCGAAGAAGGCGCAGUAUCGCCUUGUUGGCCUCCAGCUUCUGUGGCAGCUCACCGAGGAGGCGCGGCACAGUGCGCUGCUUGCGCGUGUGCUGCACCCUGUCAUUGCGCGGACCCUGUGCGGCUGGCACUACGCUGACGGCGUCGAUGGAUGCUCAGUGGAGCAGCUCACUCGACUGCAAAGCGCCUUCUUUCUGCUUCUUGAGGCGGCUGUGAAGGCGUACGAGGAGGUGGGGAAGCAGGCGCAGCCGUGGGUGCUGCUGUUGGCUGCCCUUUUUUCCUGUCCGUUCCGACGCACAGAUUUGCGCAAGUUGCGAACCACCAGUGCCUCCGCCGAGGUGAUGCGCCGUCUCUGGACUGCUGACGGGUCCCCGGAGCUGCUGUAUGAGCGAGUGAACGGCUCUCUGCCGCGGGCGCUGCGGGCCACGAAACUCUCUCCGAUCGGGUGUGCCUCCACCAUGACGGUCGGGGCUGCCGGCCUGACGCUGCGCUCCUCCGGCGGCCGCGGCAGCUGCGUCGCGCCAUGCACCUGGACGAAGUCGGUACGCAAGGAAGCAGCAUCGUACUACUACGAGGUUCACGUGGUGGAUCUGUACCAGGGCGGGUACGUGAGCGUUGGUCUGGGGCCGGCGGACUACAGCCUCUCGCAGAUGCCAGGCUGGAACCCAGACUCAUUCGCGUACGACGGACUGGAAGGGGCCGUAUACAACAACCGCAACGCGCGCGUAAUCGGCUCUACCUUCGGUAUGGGUGACGUUGUCGGCUGUGGUUGGGACCGCGAGGCGGGCGACAUUUUCUGGACCCGUAACGGCAAGUCUGUUCACUCCGUCAAGGCUCUGGUGACGUCGGAGCAGCUCAGCCCGCUCAUAGGCAUGAAGGGAAAAGGCUGUGUUCUCGUGAACUUUGGGGCUCGCCCGUUUGUUUACCAGACCUGGCCUGUAAAAGGCGCCGGAGCUUCUUCGCGCGUGGUGUCGCCAACAGAACUAGCUUCCGGCGCGCGCCACUUGGGCCCGCGUUUGGAGUUGGAGGUCUCAUGGGACGGAUGGGAUGCGUUCCGUCUCUUAUCUAUGCGCGCGGCGAAGGUGAUCGGCGAGGCUGCGUCUCAGGUCGCCUUCAUUGCACCCACGUCGAUGCCAGAGCUCGCGGAAACGGUGGGGCGCUGUCUCGAUGCUCUCGUGGGCGCCUUGGCCUCCUCGGCAGAGGUGAGCCUUUCACAGCUGCCGCUUCCAGCGCGCUAUGUGACAACCUUGCUCGGCCAUUUGACACUCCUGUGCAAGUUUCUUCGCGGCGUGCCAGGAGACGUCAUCGCCAUCCACACCAGCCGCGUUGCAGCGCUGCUUGCGAAGAUGGCGACGCGGUGGCUCUUGACCACCUCACGUGUCGCCCUCUUCAGCGCUGAGGAGAGCGAGGCGGUGACGGCGCUUUUAAUGGCGUGGUACUACACGAUGUAUCUAACACCACCGACAGUUGUUCUCGUUCCCGCUCCAAAUGGCAAUCCGAGAAAGGUGGAUGCUACAAGCUCCACCACGCCGAGCUCGCGUGCGGCGCGCGCCGCGCCGGCCAAUGCCGAAACUGCCUGGCCAUCUCCUCCAUCGCUGCCCAACUUCCUUCAAGUGCUCCUUCAGUUGGCAAGCUGCAUCAUUACCACUGACGACGCGCGCAUGUCCGCCUCCGAAACUCGGCAUGUUGUGGAGAGCAGCGCAAACUUGAGCGUGGUAACUUCCUGCGACACGGCUCACUGGCUCGCGUUGUCGCUGCUGCAGCACCUCAACAACGACCGCGACGAGCGCAGCCAUCACGCAUGGCAGACGGAGUUACAGGCGUGGCUCCAGCACACGCUGAAAGCCGGCCCGCAGAUUCCUGAAGGGGAUCAGGGAAAGGGUAGUUACGACAAAACCAACACGCGUGACAUUCUGCUCGGCCUUGCCAUCCUUGGUGGCAUACCCCGACUGGCUGUACCGGGUGAUACGGUUAUGGCACAUCUCUCCACGCAUACCAUCGCACCUGUGCUGCUCCUGCACCCCUCGUGGUCGGAGGAGAUGUGCGAGGUUCUGGAGGUGCAUGCAGGCGACGCGUCAAAGGCGGCGGUGAAAGCCUCGACAACCGCGCAGCCCGCCAUGGCUACUCACGUCAUCAAGAGGCUCCCGCUGCGUUUCGUGCACGCCACCCUGGGUGGGGACGAGCCUCCCACUGACACCUUUCCCAUCAAGGGGGACAAGGCACACCUGGAGCUCGCCGAGGCGGUGGCGCAUCUGGCACAAGUGUGGUUUGUAACGGUGACGCCGGCGACACGGUCGAGUGAGGAUGUGUGUCUUGUCGCCCAGCUGUCCUGCGUGCUGGUUCGCUGUGCGGAACGCCACGUUGUGUCGGUGUCGCCGCAGCUGAUUGACUCUCUCUCGGUGCUGACCGGCAUGGCCAACGAUGUCGCGUCCAACAUGGACCAGGUUCGGUUAGAGCUCGUGCUGAGCUUGUGGGGCCUGCUUCAGUACCGGCAGCGGCGGGGGCUGCUCCGAAACUCGCUCAGCGCGAUGCGGACGGACCGCGGAAUUGGGGUUGGCAGCGACGAGAGGGAGCAGCUGGGAUCUCGAGGGAACGCAGGGUGCAGCCUCGUGCGGGUUGGCGACAGCGUCGCUUCCCCUACGGCCCCUUCAUCGAUGAGGCUGCGGACCUUUGCAGCCCUCGACUCUCUGCGUCACCAUCUGCUGGGCCCCGUCCCCGACGUGCCGGACAUGACCUACGAGGAAGAGGACGACGAGGGCAGUGACCCGGAGGACGACGGUGACUCCGAGUUCGGUACACGCUCCCCGUACCCCCUACACGGGAUGGACGACCUCGACGAGGAGGACGGCGCUGAUGACGAAGACGCAGGGCCGUCUAGGCUUGCCACCAUCGCUCUCGCGCAGACGGAGUCGCGGCUUUCGGCGUCCUCUACGCCAGAUGCCCUGUUUUUGCCAACCGAGCGAGAAAUGUUCGACACGAUUCACUUCAACGGCGGGUGUGUGCGUUUGGUGGCUGGUGCCGCGGUGGGGCUGAGCUUCACCGUGGAUCUUGCACUGCGCAUGACGAACAUAGAGCGUCAUCAAAUCCUCUUUGCGCAGAUGCUGCGCGGCGGCUCGGCUGCGACGGCGCUGGAGAUGGUGGCCCGCAUUACGAGGGGCAACUUGGAGUUUGGGUGGUUUCCGUGCUUCCCUGGCGGCGAAGCGGAGUUGGACCCUGCCGACCCGGCAACGAUUUGCUCAUUUGCCUUGUCUGAGACUGACCUCAACACGUGGAUCCGCGUCACCUUUGUGCAAUCCGGCACUACCCUGUCUCUCUUCCGUGGCGGCCUGCUGCUCGACUCCCGGCCGAUGAAGACUGGCGGUGGCUCUCUUUUGCAGGAGGAGCUGCGACUCGGGGGCAUUCCUCAGCAACUCGGCUCCAGCGCCUUCAUCGGUGACAUCAAGAACUUUCGAGUGUAUGAGCUCGCCUUGCGGCCGGCCAUGGUGGAGCAGCUGCGACGCCUGAACUCGUCUUUGUCGAUGUUUUUGGAGUCACAUCUGGCGCUGCUGCUGAAGACGACGCGAACCGGUGUCGAGAACGCGGCAAAGGCUGCCGCAUCGGUUGUGCUGGACGUCUGGACGGAGGGGGACGUGGGCUACCUUGACGAGUCCGAAGAGGCAGCCGCUCGCCACAUCCAGGCUCGCGAGGCGUGCGCGCAGGAGCUGGACUUUGGCACGGAGUCGGAAGAGACCGACCUUCGCGUACUUAGUGAGCCGUUGCCGUCGCAGCAGUCUGUGCUGUGGCACAAGAAGCGCUCCCAGUCUCGUGAGCAGCUGCUCAGCAUCUGCGCAAGUUGCUAUCACCAACUGGCAGCCUUCUACAGCGCACACAUUUUGGCCCACGCGGUGUGCUGCGUGGCGAAGUCUUCUCACGGCUUGUCCGAAUCGGAUCAGCACACCAUGCAAGUCCUCAAGGACGAUGCCUGCGUAGCGCGGUUGGCAGACUGGGCUGUUUCGACGUCAGGCAAGGAUAUGGCAACGCUGCUGGACGAGAUGUGGCUUUCUCUGUGCCGCGUGAGCAGCGACCGCACCGAGGAUGCCGCGAAAGUGAAGGUGAUGUGGGAGAUGGGGAAUGCGUUGCUGGCGGAGCUGCUCCGAAUUGCCCAGCGGCCGCCGCACGCUCGCAUAUUUGAGUCGGCGCACCCUCAGCGGCCGUUUGCCUCGAAUGUGUACGAGGUGCAAGUGGCAGGGCAGCGCUCCUACGCUGUGUUUGUGGAUGAACGGAGCGUGGCGAGCUGGCGACUUGUAACCGUCUCCGCUGACCGAACGUUGGGUGCGAUGCUAUCCGAGUUUUGCAGCACGGCACUCUCUUCGUUUGAGGUGUGCUUGCCACAGUUCUUCUUGACGGUGCGAUCGGCAGCGGAGUCGUCCAACUGGGGCCAUCGCAUCGCUGUCGUUCACGAUUACCAACCGCAGCUGCGGGCGAUGCGUAUCUUUCGAAGCGCGCUCUCCGUCUUUCUCACACUCGACUCACCGGCGAGCUCCGCGGUGGCGUACGUUUGGUCGGUGGAGUGCCUCAUGGCUCUGCGCACCGUGGCGCAGCGGAACACUAGCAAAACACGACUCCUCGCUUUCACCUGCCUCAACCACCUGCUUUUGUUCAGCCAGCGCUUCCGCACGACUCCGCCGCCGCUGUCAUUGCCGUUGCUCCUGCACGACGUUCGCCGCAUGGCCUUGCGCCACUACCGCCGUCGCCUCCCUACACAGCGCGUGCUGGGCCGCUUCAUCCAGAUGAGCAUGGAGAGCUACGUCAUGCAGCGGGAUGCAGCCCAGUGCUGGCAGGCCGCGCGAACGGCGCAAGCGCCCGAAUGCUCCCCACCAAGCAUGGUCUCUGGUGCUUAUGAUAGGGCCACUGCGGAGGGUGCACCGUUGCCGACGGACGCCAGCGCAGAGGAGAGUGCGGCCACGGUGGAUUUCCUGCGCCACCGACAAGAGCAAAUGCAGCUGUACCGCCAGCGCGACACUGCCGCAGACCGAGUGAGCAUCCAGAAGGUUCGCAACCCACAGAGUCUCUCGCUCGAAUGGAGCGGCGACGGGGUGUGCAUUUUGCGGAGCGAUGGCACGGGAGGCUCAGUGGUGGCGGGGGUGCCGCUCACGGCUGGUAGAUGGUACUACGAGCUGCGAAUCGGCGGAACAGGCGACCUUUCAGUUGGUGUGUUGCCUAUCCCGUCCUCUGUCUUCGCUGACCAGGAGACGCCGCUGCCGCUGACGAGCGCUGCAAUGCAGGGGCGCGAUCCAGUCACCUUCAACGGCUGCACUGGUGCGUUUCACUGUGCGGAGCAGCAGCAACCGCCUUUGCAGCAGAGACCGCUAAGCACGCCGCUGUGGUUCAGCAGGGACUAUCUGGGAAUCGUCAUUGACAUACCGGCGCAGCGGUGCACGAUUCUCGUGAACGGGGUCCAGGCGGUGAGCUUCACUUUUGGGCCAGAGGCCGCCCCCAGCGAAGGCGCCGCUGCUGCCUCCCCCUCACCUUCUUCCACGAUACCCUCUAUCUACAACAGCGGCGAAGAUAUGGGCCCUUCCAACGGAGCGGGGGCGCGGCACGAGGGUGGUGACAGUAGCCACAGCAGUCAUCACCCUAGUCACCGCUCGGUGGAGCGCAGCUCAGCAUCAGUUGCCUACUACCCAUAUGUGUCGAUGGGGCAGGCGGACUCGGUGUCGCUCAAUUUUGGGGCGGCCUACUUCGAGCACGAGGUGCCGUCUGGCUGUUUGCCCUUGGACCCGGCCAACCUUUCUCUGGGCACGAUGUUCCCAUACAACCAGAUGCGCUCACUGCAGGACCUCGCCGCCCACCUCCUCACCGGUGGCCGGUAUCCCCUGCCACCGUUCUACUACGAGGAGGCCGACCCGUUUGCCGGUUCCACGGAGCGGGUGGGCCCGGCCCACGUGUCAGUGCAGGCCUCCGCAAACGUGCAGGUGAACAUGGAGGACGUGAAGAACACCGGUCUCGAUUUCGAGACCGUGACGGGGGACUGCGCGGUGGGGGCCGGCGCCUGGUACUUUGAGGUGACCUUGCGGACCCAGGGGCUGAUGCAGAUCGGGUGGAUGCAGAAAGGUGAGGCGCCGCACGGCAAUGGCCACGGCGUCGGAGACUCUUCCACCUCGUGGUCGGUUGACCUGUUUCGGCGCGUGAUGUGGCAUCGCGGGGUACCGGAACCGGUGAACACGCCGCGGCGAUGGGCUGCCGGGGACGUGGUGGGCUGCGCCGUGGACAUGGCCCACGGCGAACUAAGCUUCUUCCUGAACGGCCGCCCCAUCACCGGCGCCUCUGCUCUCGAGUCCCGAUCCCCUCUGACCGAGACGUGCACCUUUCGCGGCAUCCCGCAGGGGCUUUAUUACGUCCCGGCUGUGUCGCUCCGCUCUGGAGGUGCCGUGAGCUUCAACUUCGGCUCCUCGCCAUUCAAAUACAAGCCGGAGGGCUUCAGCCCGCUCGGUGUGCCGGACUCGUGGAAUGAACGGAUGGACACGUUCUACAACAACGCCUCGGCGGCGAGUACGCAGCAGCGCAUGGCAGCGAUGCAGGAGGCGUGGCGAGUGCUGCGCAGCGUGCACCCCGCGAUGGGCGCCAGCGCGACCGCUGCCGUGGCUGUCGACAGAGCUCCUUUUGCCCCACGUACGCCAGCCACUGCACCGACACCAGCGGCACGGUCAUGGUCCAUGGACACUUUUGAGAAGAACUUGCUUCCAUAUCGCCUUGUCGUCCACGCCAUCGACAACUUCUCGAGCGACGUCACGAAGUCGUUCACGAAGAACGCCGAGGAUGAGCUGGCCCACUACCUCGCCACCUUUGCGUACCCCGACAACAGCGGCGGGGUCAGCGCGGCUGCGGUGGCGGAGCGCGCGUGGGAUAUGUUCAAGGUGCUGAAAGCCGUCAGCAAAGUUGUGCACGCCCUUCUUCCGUUUCUGUCCCUCAACACCACCCACCCAACGCUCAUGACGCUUUUGUUUCUGUCGCUGCGCACGCUGCUGUUCCGCGCAGUGCGGCGAAAGCUUGUCGAGAGUGUGCUUACCGUGUCCUCAGUGCGCUCCGAGCAGUACCGCAUCUGCAUUAACCGUGCCAAGGCGCACGCGGAGAGGCAGUCGGUCAAGUCUUCUGUUUUCGGUCAAACCUUCGCGCUGCUGGGCUCCCAGUCGUCGCGCAUUUUUCAGACUCAUCAACGCUUCUGGAGCACCGUCUUCCUUGGCGAGGGCGCCGAGGACGCGGGCGGUCCGUUCCGCGAGCAUCUGAGCGAGAUGUGCCGCGAGCUCAUGUCCGGCCGUUUGCCGUUCUUUGUGCCCACCGCAAACCAUGUGCACAACACUGGAAGCCACCGCGAGGCGUACGUGCCGGCCGCUUCUGCCCGUUCCGCCUACGACCUAGAGGCGUUUGCGUUCAUUGGAAAGCUGAUGGGUGGUGCGCUGCGGAGUGAGGACCCUCUCGAUUUAUUCCUGCCGCCUCUGGUGUGGCGCUACCUGUGCGCCUACCCCAUCACAGAGGCGGAGGUGGAGCAGGUGGAUGUGAUCUGUGUGCAGUGCGUUCGUGAGUUCCGCGUCCUCAGCGCCACACACGCGGCUGCAGCGGUGGCGGACGCGGAUGAGUCAGGGGGCACCGAGACGGAGCUGUUCGAGGACGUCUUCGGUGAGGAGUUCUUCGUGACACAGCUGAGCGACCACUCGACGAAGGAAUUGAUUGAGGGAGGCGCCCAGACGCGGGUGACGUUGGCGCGCAGCAGCGAGUACGCCGAGGCGUUGCUGCAGGCGCGACUCCACGAGUUCGACUUGCAGCUGCAUAAAAUGCGAGAGGGACUGCUUUCCGUGGUGCCGGAGGUGGCCGUGUUGCUCUUGACCCCAGAGGAGUUGGAGCUGCGCGUGUGUGGGCAGGCGGACUACACGCCAGAGGAGCUGCGCAAGGGAGCCUCGUAUGAAGGGUUGGCAAGCGAGGAUCGGCGUGUGCAGCUGCUAUGGAAGGCUCUGGAGGAGGCCACGCCGCUGCAGCGGCGACUCUUCCUCCGCUUUGUGUCAGGACGCGAUCGGAUGCCGGUGAAGCUGCGCAUUCUGCCCCUCACCACGCAGGCCGAUGCCGACACGGUUCUUCCACGUGCGGCGACGUGCUUUUUCGCGAUUGAGGUGCCCGACUACAGCACACUAGAGGUGAUGAAGCGGAAGCUCUACUACAGCAUCGAGAACUGCGCUGAUAUGGACACCGACUUCAACGCUCGCGUUGUGGACGAGGACGAGGGCCCACAACUGUCCGUCGCCCUGGACGAUGGCCAGCAGGACAUCAUACCGCCCAACUCGGAGAAUGAAUAACAGGGCACAUAGAGCCUGGGCCGUUUUGUUUGCGCCGCCUCCCCUUCUCCUCCUCCUCCCUUCAGCGACCGCGAAGACGCGGGAGAGACGGCAUGUUUUGCGCUGUGACCGCCAUGCCUGUUCUCGUGUUCACGCUGGCUUUUCGCUCGUACCCGCCCCCUCUCCGUGUCCCUUUCACUCUAUGCGCCCAUCGCUCUUUGCGGCUCUUUUUGGUUGCUCCCCUUCGAGGAAACGCACUGCCACGCUGACGCGAAGAUCUUGUGGUCUCUCGCUUUUUGCAUGCGCUGUGAUGUAGACCAGCGACAGCGGACAGGGUUUUCGAAUGCGUUCAUGUGGGUUAGGCGUUUUCGAAACUUCCAGCACGGCCGCCACUCACCGUUGCCGAUGCGCUGUCACCUCGUCUCUCGGAGUGUCAGUGAGUUGAAAACUCGUUGUUUUUUCCGCGUCCUCUUUGCUUCCGUUCUCGUCAAUUUCGUUUGUUGUUGCUUUCUCGAUGGCAUCAUACGCCGACGCGCCGUGGGCCGCUCCGCUGGC
rnacentral:misc_RNA from 1 species